UACGAAGGGGGCUAGCGUUGCUCGGAAUCACUGGGCGUAAAGGGUGCGUAGGCGGGUUUUUAAGUCAGGGGUGAAAUCCUGGAGCUCAACUCCAGAACUGCCUUUGAUACUGAAGAUCUUGAGUCCGGGAGAGGUGAGUGGAACUGCGAGUGUAGAGGUGAAAUUCGUAGAUAUUCGCAAGAACACCAGUGGCGAAGGCGGCUCUCUGGAACGCAACUGACGCUGAGACGCGAAAGCGUGGGGAGCAAACAGG
rnacentral:rRNA from 1 species